rnacentral:rRNA from 1 species
CCUACGGGCGGCACCAGUGAGGGAUUUUGCGCAAUGGGGGAGACCCUGACGCAGCAACGCCGCGUGAGUGAAGAAGGCCUUUGGGUCGUAAAGCUCUGUCAACAGGGAAGAAGUUAUCAUGCACGAACAGUGUGUGGUAUUGACGGUACCUGUGGAGGAAGCACCGGCUAACUCCGUGCCAGCAGCCGCGGUAACACGGGGGGUGCAAGCGUUAUUCGGAGUUAUUGGGCGUAAAGGGCGCGCAGGCGGUCUUGCCGGUCAGGUGUGAAAGCCCGGGGCUCAACCCCGGAAGAGCAUUUGAAACAGCAAGACUUGAGUACAGGAGAGGAAAGCGGAAUUCCUGGUGUAGAGGUGAAAUUCGUAGAUAUCAGGAGGAACACUCAUGGCGAAGGCAGCCUUCUGGACUGAUACUGACGCUGAGGCGCGAAGGUGUGGGUAGCGAACAGGAUUAGAUACCCUCGUAGUC